rnacentral:rRNA from 1 species
GACGAACGCUGGCGGCGUGCUUAACACAUGCAAGUCGAGCGGUAAGGCCUCUUCGGGGGUCCACGAGCGGCGAACGGGUGAGUAACACGUGGGUGACCUGCCCUCAGCUCUGGGAUAAGCCUGGGAAACUGGGUCUAAUACCGGAUAUGACCUUUCCUCGCAUGGGGUUUGGUGGAAAGUUUUUUCGGCUGGGGAUGGGCCCGCGGCCUAUCAGCUUGUUGGUGGGGUGAUGGCCUACCAAGGCGACGACGGGUAGCCGGCCUGGGAGGGCGACCGGCCACACGGGGACAGAGACACGGGCCAGACUCGUACGGGAGGAGGCAGGAGGGAAUAGUGAGGAAUGGGCGGAAGCCGGACGCAGCGACGCCGCGUGGGGGAGGACGGCCUUCGGGUUGGAAACCUCUUUCGACCCCGACGAAUUUGGACGGUAGGGGGAGAAGAAGCACCGGCCAACUACGUG